rnacentral:tRNA from 1 species
GGAGAGAUGGCAGAGCGGUCGAAUGCGGCGGUCUUGAAAACCGUUAGGCCUGCAAAGGUCUCCAGGGUUCGAAUCCCUGUCUCUCCGCCA